rnacentral:misc_RNA from 1 species
GAUGAGGCGUGAGGCAUUAAAGGGGGAUAGUUUGGAGAAUGGAGGAAGAAGAAGGUAUAAUUUAAGUAGCAACAAGGGUGGUAAAGGGUUGAGGCAGGAUGAUUCAGCAAGAAUGGUGGAGAAUGAGAAGGGGACAACACUUGCUUUAAAGGAUAAGGAUAGAGAAAAAAGAAAGGAAAUGAAUUCGAGUUUGACAGAAGAGGAAGAUGAAGAUGAACUGGAGAUGGAGACGCUGAUUGCGAGGGUGAGAGACAAAA